rnacentral:rRNA from 1 species
UACGUAGGGUGCAGGCGUUUAAUCGGAAUUACUGGGCGUAAAGCGUGCGCAGACGGUCUGCUAAGAGAGAUGUGAAAUCCCCGGGCUUAACCUGGGAACUGCGUUUCUAACUGGCAGGCUAGAGUGUGGCAGAGGGGGGGUGGAAUUCCACGUGUAGCAGUGAAAUGCGCAGAUAUCAGGAGGAACACCGAUGGCGAAGGCAGGUCUCUGGGCAUUAACUGACGCUGAGGAGCGAAAAGCAUGGGGAGCGAACAGG